CAAUAGCGUAUAUUUAAGUUGUUGCAGUUAAAAAGCUCGUAGUUGGAUUUCGGAUGGGAUUUGCCGGUCCGUCGUUACGAUGUGCACUGGCCAGUCCUAUCUUGUUGUCGGGGACUAGCUCCUUGGAUUCACUUCCUGGGACUAGGAGCUGACGAGGUUACUUUGAGUAAAUUAGAGUGUUCAAAGCAAGCCUACGCUCUGAAUACAUUAGCAUGGAAUAACACGAUUGGACUCUGGCUUAUCUUGUUGGUCUGUGAGACCAGAGUAAUGAUUAAGAGGGACAGUCGGGGACAUUCGUAUUUCAUUGUCAGAGGUGAAAUUCUUGGAUUUAUGAAAGACGAACUUCUGCGAAAGCAUUUGUCAAGGAUGUUUUCAUUAA
rnacentral:rRNA from 1 species